rnacentral:rRNA from 1 species
GAUUAACGCUGGCGGCGUGCAUAACACAUGCAAGUCGAACGAUGAAACUCAUUAGAUUUCUUCGGAAUGACAAUGAAUGGAUUAGUGGCGAACGGGUGAGUAACGCGUGAGUAACCUGCCUUACACAAGGGGAUAGCCUCUGGAAACGGAGAAUAAUACCCUAUGACAUCACAACCUCGCAUGAGGAAGUAAUCAAAGUGUUUAGCGGUGUAAGAUGGACUUGCGUCUGAUUAGCUAGUUGGUGAGAUAACAGCCCACCAAGGCAACGAUCAGUAGCCGGCUUGAGAGAGUGUACGGCCACAUUGGGACUGAGACACGGCCCAGACUCCUACGGGAGGCAGCAGUGGGGAAUUUUGCACAAUGGGGGCAACCCUGAUGCAGCGACGCCGCGUGAUUUAGAAGGCCUUCGGGUUGUAAAAAUCUUUUGUAUAGGAAGAAAAUGACAGUACUAUACGAAUAAGGUCCGGCUAAUUACGUGCCAGCCGCCGCCGUAACAC